UCCGUAGGGAGCAAGCGUUGUCCGGAAUCAUUGGGCGUAAAGCGCGCGUAGGUGGCCCUAUAAGUCCGCUGUGAAAGUCAAAGGCUCAACCUUUGAAAGCCGGUGGAUACUGUGGGACUAGAGUACGGAAGAGGCGAGUGGAAUUCCUGGUGUAGCGGUGGAAUGCGCAGAUAUCAGGAGGAACACCAAUAGCGAAGGCAGCUCGCUGGGACGUUACUGACACUGAGGCGCGAAAGCGUGGGGAGCGAACAGG
rnacentral:rRNA from 1 species